ensembl:lncRNA
GGGGAGGAGCAGACGGGGGAGCGGAGAGCCAGAGCCAGGGCCCAGAGCUGGAUAAGGAGGAGUGGGUUCAAACUUAAAGAGAGUGGGUUUGGAGUAGAUCUGAGGAGGAAGUUGUUUGCUGUGAGCGGGAUGAGACCCUGGCGCAGGUUGCCCCGCGAAGCUGUGGAUGCCCCGUCCUUGGAAGUGUUCAAGGCCAGGUUGGAUGGGGAUCUGAGCAACCUGGCCUAGUGGAAUAUGCCCUUGCCCAUGGCAGGGGGCUUGGAACUAGAUUACUUUUGAAGUUCCUUCUGACCCAGGCCAUUCUAUGGUUCUGUGAUGAAAUCCACGUGCGAAAGCCUUGUGAGUGUCCGGUGUGAACAUUCCCACUGAGGUGGCUUUGGGGACAAGCUUCCUUAGUUAAUACUGCAGCAUCCUAAAGUGGCUGUGGAAGAAACAAACAUACUUCCAGAUCAUGCUGUUCAUGCGUGUGGAUCAUGCAUGUGAGGUUGUGUGCCAAGACCAGCGUUAAUAAAGAAAACAGCUACUGCUUUUAAUAGUGACUGCAUGCUGCCUAUUUAGUGACAGUCAUGUUGUUUCGGAAACCACGCUCCUGAGAUGAUUGUGUCCUGGAAAGGAAGAGCUCAUGCAGAGCUGUGGGAACAUCCAGGGACUUUGAAACGUCAUAAGCCUAGGUGAACAGCAGAGGACAACAGAUGGCGGAGGCAAGAGUCUGAUCUGGUAGUCUGUUGAACAUCCUCUGCAGCAUGGAACACAAGUCUACAUCCAAGAGGCAGGGCCUUGACUUUCAGGUCACAGGAUGUAAAACACAUCCACAAGUUUCUUCUUGAGCAGAUAUAAGGAACAAGUAAAAGGAAGAAGUAAAACACGGGGAUUUUCUUAUAUAAUCUUAGUGGCCCUUAACCUUGUCUUCUAUGUCUCUUCAUUGUAGGCACUUAUUUGGACGGAGAUAUGUAUUAAAUAACCUCUAAAAGUAUGUUAAGAUGAAGACAGUGUUUAGCAGUGCCCUCUGCAGGCUUUUUUCAUGGUGGUUAGAGAGAGCUGUAGUAUCUCCAAUCUCUUGAUUAUGUGUUUGUAGUAGUUGAGCUGGUUCUUUUAAAAUAUUUUCCAGGCCAAGCAUCAUCUGAACUUUGGAGCUUAUUCCCAAGCUGCUUGGAAACAUACGCAGAGUGCUGUAAGUGAUUCAUGAAAUGGCUCACAAAUUACAUGCUUGUUUCUAGAUCCUGGUUUCUUAUUAGUUUUUGUGUUACAACCAUAUAGAGUUCUGAACAACAGGAGUUCCAAUUCCCCUGUGUCUUUCCCCUAGAAGCUUAUUUCUGUCUGUACUGACUAAAGGUGAUCAAUUUAGCUUUUAGUUCUUUGCGAACAAUUAUUACACUGAAAAAAAACCCACCAAACUUUUUUUUAAGGGCCUUUUGUCACUUUCAGCCAAGUUGAUACUGAAAUAGAGCUGUCCAAGCUUCCCUAAAAUACAACUGCAAGUGCAAUGGAAGUUGACAGUGUCAGAGAAAGCAUCAUGUUUUGAGCUGUUUCCCAUAGAAGUCCAAUGUAAAAUAAAUUAUUUUCAAUUCUUCUUUUUUUACCUAUUUGUUAAUAAUCUAUGUAUUGUGACUUAAAGUGCCUUCCAAUUGCAGGACAGAACUUGGAAAUAAUUCCUCUCUCAGUAAAUUACAUGAAAAUUGAUUGCUCAUUCCAAAUCACCAUUGAUUAAAUGGUAACCCUUUGAGUGCAAAAAAUAUCAUCACAUAAAAUAGAGCUUUUUCAUUACUGUAUUUAUUAGUAAAUUGCUCUCAUUCCUGACUGUGCCCUGCACAUUAAGCAAAUUUUGUAAUUAUGAGGCUCAGGACAAUGAGGACAGUUACAAGCCAAGAGUUCUGUCUUCUAGUCUGAGACUGCGCUAUACUGCAGACAUCUCUGUGGUCUCUAGGAUGUCAUCAAAGUCUUUGUUGCUAAAAUCUUAUUGAGCAUAUGUGCAUCACCACACUUAAGUGGGUAAAUUAUUUAAGGAGACAGAUUUGAAGUUUUAGUCAAGCAGAAGCUUGUCCUUCAAGUUGUAACAUCAGGACUAGCUGAAAAUACACAUACACAAAAGUGAAUACUGUCAGUUAUAUUCUUAGACCUGACAAAUAUUAAAUAACCUAAAUGACAAAUAAAACCAUUAAGUAAGAAUGCACUUGAAAAAUUAUAGGAAGUUAGUUGACUUUAUCCACAUUUAGAAAAAUUUGUAGGAAUUCUGUAGCCUGUUCAGAGGUUUGACGUUGGUAAGUCAACACUGUGUGGAGCUGUAGAGCUUGUUUUUCAGUAGAUUUAAAUUGGCGUCAAAACAGUGAAGUGAAAGGAGAAGUGCUAUAUGAACUUCUGCUUUUAGGCUAUACAGCAGUAAUCACAUUUUUUCAGUCACUGAAUCAUUCCAACUUUUUAGCAGUUCCUUGAGGGAGUUAAAUAUAUAUUUUCCUAAUUGUAAUCAAAGUUCUCAUUUGCAGUUAAUAAAAAAGAGGAGCAUUUCAGCUUUUUUAGACCAUACCCACAAAAAUAUUAAGUGAGAAGCAAACUGGUUGAAAUGCUGGCAGGACAAAAUACAAUCCUGUAAACCAAAGCUUACUUGUUUUGAUAACUGUUAUUUAUCAUUGGAUACCAGUUUUUGAGCUUGGAUACUGCUGUAUGACUUGGCUUAUUACUUAGUUAUAGUAAAUACAUAAGAACAUGCAGAAAACUUUCCAUUACUCUUCUCUUUAGGCAUCAUAUGAUGGAACAUAGCCCCAGUUGUUCUUAAAUAAUCCUGGGGAACAGAGGUCUUGGAGUGACUGGAUUACAGUCUUAUUAAGAGUAUCUACCAAAUUUU